UACGUCGGGAGCAAGCGUUGUUCGGAUUUACUGGGCGUAAAGGGCGCGUAGGCGGCGUGUUAAGUCAGCUGUGAAAUCUCCAAGCUCAACUUGGAACGGCCAGCUGAUACUGAUGUGCUAGAGUGCAGAAGGGGCAAUCGGAAUUCUUGGUGUAGCGGUGAAAUGCGUAGAUAUCAAGAGGAACACCUGAGGUGAAGACGGGUUGCUGGGCUGACACUGACGCUGAGGCGCGAAAGCCAGGGGAGCAAACGGG
rnacentral:rRNA from 1 species